UAAGACAGAGGUGCCGAGCGUUAGGCGGAAUCACUGGGCUUAAAGCGUGUGUAGGCGGGCCGUUAAGUACCUUGUGAAAUCCCCCGGCUUAACCGGGGAACUGCUGGGUAGACUGGCGGUCUUGAGAGACCUAGGGGCCAUCGGAACAGACGGUGGAGCGGUGAAAUGCGUAGAUAUCGUCUGGAACGCCGACGGCGAAAGCAGAUGGCUGGGGGUCUUCUGACGCUGAGACACGAAAGCCAGGGGAGCGAACGGGAUUAGAUACCCCGGUAGUCCUGGCCGUAAACGAUGUCGACUAGGUCGCGGGCACCUCUGACGGUGUUCGCGGCCGAAGCAAAAGUGCUAAGUCGACCGCCUGGGAAGUACGGUCGCAAGGCUA
rnacentral:rRNA from 1 species